rfam:Schistosoma mattheei strain Denwood, Zambia genome assembly, scaffold: SMTD_contig0016296
AUUAAGCUGAUGAGUCCUAAAUAGGACGAAAUGCACAUCUUGGAU